rnacentral:misc_RNA from 1 species
GAUGAAGAACGUAGCGAAAUGCGAUAAGUAAUGGGAAUUGCAGAAUUCAGUGAAUCAUCGAAUCUUUGAACGCACCUUGCGCCCUUUGGCCAUUCCGAAGGGCAUGCCUGUUUGAGUAUCAUGAACACCUCAACUCUUUAUGGUUUUCCAUGAUGAGCUUGGACUCUGGGGGUUUUGCUGGCUCACAGUCGGCUCCUCUAAAAUGAAUCAGCUUACCAGUGUUUGGUGGGUAUCAUGGGUGUGAUAACUAUCUACGCUUGUGGUUUUUCCACCAGGUAACCUUCAGCAGUGGAGGUUCGCUGGAGCUCAUAGAUGUCUCUCCUCAGUGAGGACAGCCCUUUGAAUGUUUGAUCUCAAAUCAGGUAGGACUACCCGCUGAACUUAAGCAUAUCAAUAAGCGGAGGA